rnacentral:rRNA from 1 species
GUAACACUAACUGGAGGACCGAACCGACUAAUGUUGAAAAAUUAGCGGAUGACCUGUGGCUGGGGGUGAAAGGCCAAUCAAACCGGGAGAUAGCUGGUUCUCCCCGAAAGCUAUUUAGGUAGCGCCUCGUGAAUUCAUCUCCGGGGGUAGAGCACUGUUUCGGCUAGGGGGCCAUCCCGGCUUACCAACCCGAUGCAAACUGCGAAUACCGGAGAAUGUUAUCACGGGAGACACACGGCGGGUGCUAACGUCCGUCGUGAAGAGGGAAACAACCCAGACCGCCAGCUAAGGUCCCAAAGUCAUGGUUAAGUGGGAAACGAUGUGGGAAGGCCCAGACAGCCAGGAUGUUGGCUUAGAAGCAGCCAUCAUUUAAAGAAAGCGUAAUAGCUCACUGGUCGAGUCGGCCUGCGCGGAAGAUGUAACGGGGCUAAACCAUGCACCGAAGCUGCGGCAGCGAACGUAUCACUUAAAGCGAUUCAGCGGGUUACGAUUGACGGAGCGAAGCGACGUCAAAGCGUAUACAAAGUCGAGUCGGUUUAAGGAUACGUU